CCGGAGCGAGCGGAUUGGAAGGGACCAGGGCGGUCUCGCCACCCUAGAUCAGAGCACCCGCGGCAGCCGAGGGAGCGCCAGGCAGCAGAGCCCAGCACGGUGCCUGGCUGGACCGGCCUCCGGCGUGGGGGCUGUUUGCAAUCGCCACGGAGCAGGUGCUGGGGAGCCUGCCAGCGCCCCGCUCCCCUCAGGCCCAGAGAAGGGCUGAUUAGUAAGGGAGUGACUGGUCAUCAAGGGAGGUACCUCUAAAAUAAGCUCCACAGAGCGCUAUGGCAAGAUGAAGCAGAACGGUAGAAGACAGAUUUAUCAAAAAAAUGUUUCAGCUGGGAAAAGUCAAGUCUGUUGGGAAAGUUGUUGAAAGACAAGAGGGCUGUUGAACAUGGAGGGGUGAAGACAGUGGAAUGCUGUGAAAAUCUUAGAGACUUAAAUAUUCAGGAUUUAUACAUCCUUCCAAAUCCGUGCUGCUCCUGGUCCAGCUCUUUGCACCGUCUCUGAUUUUGAGGGACAUGGAGGUAAAGUUUGAAAUAGCAAUGACACACAUUGUUAGCAGGUGAACAUGGUUUUUAGUCUCAUGUUCUUACAAUGCCUUAUUUUCUACUUAAACACAUUCCAAGAGACUGUUUCACAAAUGAAAAGUUUAUCUUCUAUCUAACUGAGACAUUUGUCUGGGUGCAGAGGGUAGUUUAAAACUAUUUUGACAGUGGGAAAGAAUUGAAAUCAGGGGUUUUGCAUCCAGGAAGACAUAGGAUGUUAUUAACUUAAAUGAUUACUUUGGUCACAGGAUUUUGCUGUAUUGCACUAGCUAAAGUCGACAUUCUGUAACAAUGGUUAAUUCUGGAAACAGUAAGAUUACAACUAAUUUUAAAAGAAAAAUAAUACCAAAACUUACAAUUCC